CAGCUGUCACCUCUCUUGGGCAGAAACCCACCUCUCUCUCCCUCCUGACUGGGGUUUUCCAGGUUGCAGAGUUCCCUGCCUGUGCUUCAUUUUUCCCAGCAA